AUACGUAGGUGACAAGCGUUAUCCGGAUUUACUGGGCGUAAGGGCGUGUAGGCGGUCUUGCAAGUCAGAAGUGAAAUUCCUGAGCUCAACUCGGGCGCUGCUUCUGAAACUGCAGGACUUGAGUGCUGGAGGGGAUAGCGGAAUUCCUAGUGGAGCGGUAAAAUGCGCAGGUAUUAGGAAGAACACCGGUGGCGAAGGCGGCUAUCAGGACAGGAACAGACGCUGGGGCGCGAAAGCGUGGGGAGGAAACAAGUGUAGAUACGCUGUUAGGCCUCGCCGUAAACGAUGAAUACUAGAAGUAGGGUGGAUCGACGCCCUCGGUGCCGCAGUUGACACAAUAAGUAUACCGACUGGGGGGUACGGCCUCAAGGUUGAAACUCAAAGGAAUUGACGGUU
rnacentral:rRNA from 1 species